UGUUGGUGAUGUGGACAAUCUCGAAGAAGAGCCUUGAAGCAUUCCCAAGCAUGAUAGAGCUUUUCAUUAGGUUUUUGUUUGAAGCUUACUAUCUCACUACAAAGU
rnacentral:snoRNA from 1 species